UACAUGUAAAAUAAGACCGUUAGUAAAUAAAUAUAAGCGUUUAGCGGCAAAAUUUGUACACCAAUGAAACUUUGUAUAAUAACUUUAUCUUGCCACUAGAAAUGAGGAUCUGCUGAUCAUUUGUCUAGUUUGAAAA